GACAGAGGAUGCAAGCGUUAUCCGGAAUUAUUGGGCGUAAAGCGUCCGCAGGUGGUUAUUCAAGUCUGCUGUUAAAGCGUGGAGCUUAACUCCAUAUCGGCAGUGGAAACUGGAUGACUAGAGUUCGGUAGGGGUAGCGGGAAUUCCCAGUGUAGCGGUGAAAUGCGUAGAUAUUGGGAAGAACACCAGCGGCAAAAGCGCGCUACUGGGCCGAGACUGACACUGAGGGACGAAAGCUAGGGGAGCGAAAGGG
rnacentral:rRNA from 1 species